rnacentral:rRNA from 1 species
GACGAACGCUGGCGGCGUGCUUAACACAUGCAAGUAGAACGGAAAGGCCCUGCUUUUGUGUGGUGCUCGAGUGGCGAACGGGUGCGUAACACGUGAGUAACCUGCCCUUGACUUUGGGAUAACUUCAGGAAACUGGGGCUAAUACCGGCUAGGAGCUCCUGCUGUUUGGUGGGGGUUGGUAAGUUUCGGCGGUUGGGGAUGGACUCGCGGCUUAUCAGCCUGUCGGUGAGGUAGUGGCUUAGCAAGGUUUUGACGGGUAGCCGGCCUGAGAGGGUGACCGGCCACAGUGGGACUGAGAUGCCGCCCAGACUCCUACGGGAGGCAGCAGUGGGGGAUAGUGCGCGAUGGGCGGAAGCCGGGUGCAGCAACGCCGCGUGCGGGAGGACGGCCGUCGGGUUGUAAACCGCUUUCGCCUGGAACGAAGCGUGAGUGACGGUAAUGGGUAAAGAAGCACCGGCUAACUACGUG